rnacentral:lncRNA from 1 species
AGAUUCGCUACCGCAGAGCUCUAGCUCCGGAGCGCGCCAAGUUGAAGGCCAAAGUCGAGGUUGGGAUGCCCGAUGCCUGGCGCGGGGAGACGGAGGAAGCAAAGUGCUGGAAGGAAGCAAGACUGGUAGCUGAGAUGAAAGAGGUGGUGGAGGAAUGAAUUGGUUUGGAAAAGUGAAGACAUUUUUGUAGAGGAGAACUGAAUGAGUUGCUGACAAAUGUCAGUAGGACUGCCAGGCAGUGCUGAGGACCUUGUUGAGAGUGACCUUCAAUAUUGCUAAUAAUGAGCCUGGUCUUGGAGAUGAGGAGGUCAAACUGAGGGGCCUUUGUGUUGGAGGAAUUGCCCAUAUAAUGUACUGAAGUCACUGAGGAUGAUGGUGGACCUUCAGGAGAGAGGAGGAUCAUGGGCUAAAGAUUAAAGUCUUCACGGCUGCCUGGUGGAAAUACAGUAUUAUAUAAUGACAUGCUACUAUGCAUCUCUACCUAACUCCUCGUCUGGUGAUGCCAUAUUGAAAUCAGCCAUACUGAGAGUAUUUACACACUGCUGAAGUCAGUAAAUGCUACAAAUCAAGGCUUGAAUGUAACCUACAUGAGAAAGAGUUGCCUUGCUCACUGCCGUAUCCCAGUAUCCCAAGAACCUUGGAGAUGCUCUAUGAAUACUGAAUGAAUCUGAGAGGAAACUAGCCCGAAGGGGGAAGGCUCUGGAAGCAAGCCCUCAUGGACCAACGGAGAGUGAGUGUCAUCAUUUUAUGUUUUCUCCAAAUCUUGUAAACAAUGUGUUUUAGUCUUAGCCUGUCAUAUGCAGCUGAAAUCUGGGGCAAAUAAAAUCACAUAGAUGGAAAAGGAAACUGAAUCUUGGGGAGAUUAAGCAACUCUUUCAAGGUCAACCGGGGAGCGGCAGAACCAGAGUUCGAAGGAAACCUUUCUGAAUCUGACGUCUGCCCCUUCUAAAUUAGGACUCUCAUCUAUCAGCCUGUGAGAAAAAAUACAGAAAGCAUCAUUCAGGCAACACAUGAACUCAAGACACUGAGACUUCGCUAACCUUCCUCGCACACAAGGUCCUAAAGGAACUACCACACGCAUGUCCACAUUUGAUGCACAUAACAGACUCUCACCGCAUUGAAAUAAACCCCAGUAUGAUCAUA